rnacentral:rRNA from 1 species
CAUUACAAAUCAGCGAGGAUCGUUGGGGGUUGGGUAGGUGGAGUUUGGAUGGUGGCUUGGGUGGGGGAGUGCUUGGAGGAUGGUUGAGCCACAUUUGGUCAGGCCAUUUGGAAGAGCCAUUCCCCAACCACUCAGCCAUCCAGCCCUCUCGCUCUCAACAUGCCUCACAUUUGCGCUUGUUGUGUUUGACAGAGUAGUGUUGUACCAUGAAUAAUGACAACUUUUAACAAUGGAUCUCUUGGCUCUUGCAACGAUGAAGAACGCAGCAAAAUGCGAUACGUAGUGCGAUUUGCAUGAAUCUGUGAGUCAUCGAGUCUUUGAACGCAACUUGCGCCAUUCCAUGGCAUGUCUGUUUGAGUACCGUAUAAUCACAUAUCUCCCAGUGGGAUGAGUUGUCCAGUGAUCGCGCUGGAUUGAAUCGAGUGUUGAACCCCUUGGGUGUGCGGUGGCAAACCGAGCUAGAGACCACUGGUCUUGUCGGGGAUCCACCUUGGCCCUCACCAUCAUUGGUCUCAAAUCAGGCAAGACUACCCGCUGAACUUAA